CGGCUAGCUUCUUAACGGCAACAUUAGCUGCUCUGUUUCAACAAUGUUCGGCUGAAAAAAAAAAACUACAUUCAAGCUGAAAUUCAACCUUAAUGUUCUGUCAGGAGCUGCAGUGACUUUAAACCAACGCUCCACCCACUUGUCCAAAUAUGGUCACUUCUGGCUCCAAAAUAACAAGAUGGUGAUGGCCAAAAUGUGAAACUUGAGGCUUAAAAACGCAUGGAGGGGUGUGGACGCAGCUGCAGAGGAGGUAUGGUUGAGUCUCCAGCAGCAUGUUGGACCGCUGCACCAAGAAACGGCUAAAGACUGCUGUGUAGUUUCAACAACUGGAUAAGAUCACUGCAGUGGAAGAGGAAAACCAGCCAGCUGGAGCCUAUCCCAUCUGACAUUGGUCGAGAGGCGGGGCACCCUGGACAGGUCGCCAUACUAUCACAGAGCUGACACGUAGACGCAGACAACCAUUUACAUUAACAUUCACACCCACGGGCAAUUAAGAGUCCCCAGUUAGCCUAACCUAAAUAUCUUUGGACUGUGGGAGGAAGCCAGAGAAGCUGGAGAAAACCCACAAUGGAAUAUCUUCUCUCACCUAAAUCUUACCCUGUGGAUUUAAACUAUCAGUCUAAAUAAACUUCUGAUGGUCAACACAGUUGUUUGAACCACAGCAACAAUGAAAAACAGCAGUGACUCAGAGCUCUGUCCUGAGGAAGGAGGAUAAGUAUUAGAUAGUUUCCUCUUCUCCUUUGGUAACCUGCAAUAACUAGUGUCCUAGUUUGAUGCUACAUGCUAAUUUUAAGCUGGUAAUAGUGACCAAAUUUGGUACACUGAGAAAAAUCUGUAGGAAAUUAACAUUAAAAAUUGUUAUUUAUGUAGUAACAAUAUUGUUCCUCGGUGCAACGCAAAUGGAGUAAUGCCGAGUCUUCAGCCUCCAAAAAUUGCAGUACCUCAAAUGGCCACUUGAGGCUGGCUCCAAAAGUGAGUCAGUCACCACAGAUCCCCAUGUAACCAUGUUUACAGCCUGCUACAAAAAAAAACAGUUUUGGUCUCUAUAGCUAAUUUUCUUCAUGACAGCUAUAUGGGAGGGGUUCAUUUUUAUAUAACCCAGUGUUUCCCACCUGGUCCAGCCACAGGGUCCAGAUUUCUCCGUAGUCAUUCGUUUGAGG